rnacentral:lncRNA from 1 species
CUCAAGGGGAGAGUAGAUGUCUGAGAGAAAGGAGUCUUCUGCAGUAUUUUGAGAUUCAGAAGUUCAGGCCCUCUCUGGAAAGCAAAGAUAUGUGGAUACAUACCACAGAGGUACAGGGAUCAUAAAGGACAUUGCUCUGAGUUCCAGAAGAUAGAGUAAAAGUGAACAACAGAAAGGGGGCCUCUCUGAGUCUCCUUGAUGAAAAUUGAAGCCCACCAUAAAAGUGAAGAAAAUCACUGCAUUAAAGGCACACCGGACCACUAUAGUUGCAGAGAGAAAAUGGCAUCAUUUCAAGUUGUCCUGAUUUUUAAACAUAAGCUGCUAAAAUCAUCACAAAAGGAGAAGUCCAGGAAGAAGGAGGAUGAUCUUUGGAAUACCCUGAAUUCUGGUAAUAGCCCACAAGCUUACAGAAUGUUGUGAUUGAGGGAUUAAAAUUGUUU